AUUGGAGUUCACUGUAUUUUAUGUAGGGAGAGUGAGAAAGGCCAGCCGCCCUUCUCUGACUCACGUCUGCCUUUCAGAGAGCAGGUGUUCACCUGGGUGUCACUAAACUGUACAACAGUUCAGACAGCCCCUCGGAGCCCCUGGCAUCAGAGGUCAGAGGCAGUUUUGCAGGGCAUAGCAGCAACCUCUGAGACUUCAGUGUCUUUCAAAAUAAUAUUUUUGACAGAAAAUGGUGAAGUAAGAAGCUCCGGAGGUCAGUCUCUCACCAUGGAAACAACCACUUGAUGAAGGACUGCUGGACUUCUACAGUUGAGGAAACCUUUGCCAGGUCACACACUGGCCACCAAAACAACGGGCAGAAGUGUCAGUGACGGUGCACAGCAAGGAACACAGGUUUUGCAAAAGUAGUUUGGAAAUGUCACUAUAGAAACCAAAGACUACAGCCCUCCACAAGCAACUAGAGCAAUCCCUGAGAAGGGGGAGAAUCUCAUUUCCAGAUUAUAUUCAUAGCCAGUUCUCAACAAGUUACAAAAACAGGAAAAAGAGCGCUUUUUCAGGAAGAGAAAGAAUUUGACAGGAACUAUCCCUGAAGAAGCCCAGAUGUUGAAAAUACUAGUCAAAAAGACAUGUCCACUGUCUGUAAUGUUCCAUGAGCUAAAGGAAACUUGGACAGGAAACUAAAGGAAAUCAAGAGAAUGAGGUACAAAUAGGGAAUUGAAUAAAAAUACAGGAAUUAUAAAAGGAACCAAAUAGAAAUUCUGGAGCUGAAAAAUAUAAUAGCUAAAAAUGAAGAACUCAUUAGAGGGGUUUGAUUGCAGAUUAGAGCAGGCAGAAGAAAGAAUUAAUGAGCUUGAUUAAAAAGCAAUGAAAUUACUCUGCCUGAGGAGCAGAAAGGAAAAAAGAAAAAUGAGCAGGCCCCGAGGGACUUUGGCGACAUCAAAUGCAACAACAUACGCACAAUGAGAGUCUGAAAGGAGCAGAGAGAUUUGAGUUAAGGGCUGAAAGGUCCCCAAAUUUGAUGAAAGACAUAAAUGUACACAUUCAGAAACUCGAGUGAACUACAGCAUAAACUCAGAGCCACAGCAAGACGUGUAAGCAAAUUGUCAAAAGAGAGAAAAAAGUCUUGAAGCAGCUCAUCACGUACAGCGGCUCCCUAAUGACAUCGACAGCAGGUUUCUCAUCAGAAAUGAAGGCGGCCAGAGGGCAGUGGGAUGACGUGUUUACAUUCAAAGAGCUGAAAGAAAAACAAGUCUAUAUUCAGCAAACUUACCUUUAAGAAUGAAGGGAAAUUUAAACACUCCCAGUUAAGGGAGUUCGUUAGUAGACCCGCCUAUCAAAUGUACUAAAGGGAGCCCCUCAGGCUGAAUGAAAGAACAGUAGUAGAGGUAACCAAUAGGUGAUUAUAAAUGUAUUGUUGCACUUUUGGCUUGUAACUCCACUUUUUUCCUAUAUGAUUUAAAAGGCAAAUUGACAAAAAAUGAGUAUAAGUCUGUGUUAAUGGGAACAGCACUAAUAAAGAUAGAAUCUGUGACAACACAGGAAGAGAUGGUGGUACGCAGGAGCCGAGAGUGCCCUACUGAAACAGGGUUGGUAUCAAACCAGGUGGUUUUGAGGUCAAGGUGGUCAUUGUAAUCCCAAAGAUAACCAAUGAGGAAUAUUUUUUAGCAAUAUACAGGCAAGGGAAGAAGGGGAUGAAAAUGGUGCACUGUAGAAAAUAAACUAAAUCCGUAAAAAGCAGUAAAAGUAGAAUUGAGGAACAAAAAGGCAUAUUAGACAGACACAAAUAGCUAAAUGAAAGAAGCAAGAACUGGUCGGUAAUUACUAUAAAUAUAAGUGGGCUAAACUCCAAUCAAAAGACAGAGUUUGACAAGAUGGAUUUUUUAAAAAAAUGCUCUCCCUAUAUGCUAUAUUCAAAGAGACUCACCUUGAAUACAAGAUAUAAAAAGGUUGAAAGUAAAAGGAUGGGGAAAGAUAAUCCAUGAAAACAGUAAAGGAGAGCUGGGGUGGCUUUAUUAUUGUCAGACAAAAUUGGUUUUAAGUCAAAAAGGUCACAAGACAAGGUCAGUAUAUAUUAAUAAAAGGUUCCGUUUAAGAAGAAAUAACAAUUGUAAACAUACCUGCUCACAAAAUAUAUGAAGCAAAAAUUGACAUAAUUGAAGGGAGUUGGAGACAAAUACCUCACUUCUGGUAAUGGCUAGAAGAAAAACACAUGGAAGGUCGCUAAGGAGAGAGGGCUUGAACCACCUCCAACCUGAGAGGCCCCGCAAGAGCAGGCAGCACACUGCAAGCAGAAGACACCUCACAAGGGUCAUGGGACAUUCUCCAAGGCAUACCAUUUACUAGGCCACACAGCUACAUAAACUUAAAAAGAUUGAAAACACAUAAAGUAUCUUUUUCAGUCACAGGGGAAUAAAUUCAGAAGCCAACUGCAGAAGGAAAGCUGGAAUACUCAUGUGGAAGUCAAACCAGGUCAAGGAGAAAUCACAAGAGAGAGAAAAUGCCUUGAGAUGAAUACAAACAAAAAAAACCCCACACCAAGUCUUAAUGGGAUGCAGCAAAAAGCGGUGCUAAGAGAACACUUUAUAGCGGUAGACACGUUAAAAAAGAAACAUUUCAAGUCAAACACCUAACUAUACACCUUAAGAAGCUAGAAAAAAAUGCAAACUAAACCUGAAGCCAGCAGAAGGAAAGAAAUACUAGAGACGAUAGUGGAGACGAACGGAAUAGAGAAAAACCAUGAGAAAAAAAAAUCAACAAAACCAAAAAUUGGUUCUUUGAAAAGAUCAACAAACUAAGACUAAUUAGGAAGAAAAGCAGGAAAGACUCAAAAUCGGAAAUGAAAAUGGAAACAUGACUACCGACUUCACAGGAAUCAAGGGGCUUGUCACAGUACUGUGCACAACCUUAUGCCAACACAUACACCGGAAUAUGAUUCUGCCACCAGAAGGAAUGGAAUUCUGGUACAUGCAACAACGUGCAUAGAUCCUGAAAACUAAUGACUCCACUUAGAAGAAAUAUCUACAUUAGACAAGUGGAUUAGGACAGAAAGUAGAAUAGAUCAUGAAGGGUGGCCCGUAAGCACUAGAGUCCCGUCCACCUCGGGGCAAGAAUUCCUGCAGCAAGCCGGUCUCUGCCUCCCUCUUCACCCCGCAACCGUCUCAGUCUCUGUCCUCGGAGCCGCCACCACCCCAGCCUCUGCUCCCCCGCGGCCGUGCAGCCAGAGCGCUGGGCGGAGCUCUUUAUAUAGGGCAAUUAUAAGGCAUGCGUGGCCACUCAUCUGGGCCGGGCUCUGAUGCAUCUGGGUGAGGGCUGAUUUGCCAGGAUAAGAAUGCUAAUUCUGGUCAGUGAGAGACCCCCACCCUCUCCCUCUGGCCAAGAUGAAUCCCAGCCUGUGUGGUUCUGAGGCUCAUCGGCUCGAACAGUCACCACUUUACAGACUCGGUCGUUGGUACCGACUUGCCGUCCUGGGUAGCUGAGCUACAGCCCUUCGAGCUUCAAGGCCCUGGGACGCUGCGUUCUUCCUCCAAGCCUGUGCUUUGAUUAUGUCAGGCCGUGGUGGUGGUCUAAACCUUUCCUGUGGGUUUAAACAGCCUUACCAACGGAUACUGAAGGGCGCCGAACAGAUGCUGCCCUGAGCUCCCCUAAGCACCCCUGGGCUUCACCACGAUGGGAGCUAAAUGCUUGACACCUGGCCCGGCCAGGCGCCCCCAGGACCCUGAUGGCCUCCAGCUGUGGUUCGGAAAGGGACAGAGAGUGGCUGGCUUCUCCCUGGUGCUGCUGCUUCCCCCCCACAUGCAGCAGGACUGCUGCUCAGGACUCCAGAAUCUUCUCUCCUCUAAGCCCUUACCACCACCACGUGUGACUGAAGAAGGGCCAAGGGCCGGUUCCCUGGUCACAACACAGAUGUCACUCCUGCACUCAAGAGAACUUGGGUGUGGCUGGGCUCCACUGGUCCACGUGCAGAGCCCAGCCCUGCCUCGGGUGGAGCCCAGCCCUCCCAGCCGGCAGCCUGGUGCAGGGAGCUGCACCUGAGCCCCGCCCAGGUGCCCUCCACUUCGUGAACCCUGUUUCCUCCUCUCUAAAGUGAGGAUGGUUCUGUCCG